GCGGCUAUAGUUCAGUGGCAGAACGCCGCACUGUGGCUGCGGAUGUCGUGGGUUCGAACCCCACUAGCCGCCCCA
rnacentral:tRNA from 1 species